rnacentral:lncRNA from 1 species
GUGGUAAGGGGUGAACAUCCUUGGGAAGCCACAGAGAGCAAGGCGCAGUUUUUCAUUGAUCACCACUUUCAAGAUGCUCCCAGAAUCGUGCUGUCUAGGAAGCCAUUUAAACUGGUGAGAAGCCAUCCUCUCUUGAAUGGGGGCUCCCACUGUACAUCUGGCACCCACUUCACAGAUUCUGGGGGAUGUCAACACCAGCACUGCUGAGCUGUGUGACCUUGAGCAAGACAGUUAGCCUCUCUGAACCUCAGUGUCCUUCUCUGUAGGCUGGAGAUUGAUAUACCUUCAUUAUCGGGGUAUGAGAGUGUUAUAAAUCCAUGAACUGGAAGAUGCUUUCUUAUAACUCAGAGAAAAGAGAUGAAAAUGAAUCAAAGAACAGGAAGGAGACAAGCUCAGGAGGUCAACUCUCCACCUUCCCACCCACUCUGUGCCUGGAAGGGUGACUCCUCUGGCCACCUCUGGCUUCUUGCUUGGUGUGAUCAAAGGAGACUGGAGGAUGCAAGGAGAGUGAAGCGGUAUUUAUUUCUGGUUCUGGGUUUCUGCAACUUCUCUCUGCCCUUUCCCCUUGCGCCCAGCCAGUGUUUAAAUCCACCACUAUCCCUGUGGUCUUCCAAUACCCUGACCUCACCUUUGUGGAUAAGGGACUGUUUACUCAAUCCAGGCUUCAGGCUGUUUCCUACAGCUACCCAUCUAAAAGCCUAAGAAAUAAAACAAAAUAAAAGUA